UACGUAGGUGACCAGCGUUGUCCGGAUUUACUGGGCGUAAAGAGCGCGCAGGCGGUCGUUCAAGUCGAGUGUGAAAGCCCCCGGCUCAACUGGGGAGGGUCACUCGAUACUGAUCGACUUGAAGGCAGGAGAGGGAAGCGGAAUUCCCGGUGUAGUGGUGAAAUGCGUAGAUAUCGGGAGGAACACCAGUGGCGAAGGCGGCUUCCUGGCCUGCUCUUGACGCUGAGGCGCGAAAAGCUAGGGGGAGCAAACGGGG
rnacentral:rRNA from 1 species